rnacentral:rRNA from 1 species
GACGUAGGGGGCAAGCGUUGUCCGGAUUUAUUGGGCGUAAAGAGCUCGUAGGCGGCUCAGAAAGUCGGGUGUGAAACCUCCAGGCUCAACCUGGAGACGCCACCUGAUACUGCUGUGGCUAGAGUCCGGUAGGGGAGCACGGAAUUCCCGGUGUAGCGGUGAAAUGCUUAGAUAUCGGGAGGAACACCAGUGGCGAAGGCGGUGCGUCUGGGCCGGAACUGACGGCUGAGGAGCGAAAGGCGUGGGGGAGCAAACAGG